rnacentral:rRNA from 1 species
UACGAAGGGGGGCUAGCGUUGCUCGGAAUCACUGGGCGUAAAGGGCGCGUAGGCGGCCAUUCAAGUCAGAGGUGAAAGCCCAGGGCUUAACCCUGGAAUUGCCUUUGAUACUGUUUGGCUUGAGACCGGAAGAGGUAAGUGGAACUGCGAGUGUAGAGGUGAAAUUCGUAGAUAUUCGCAAGAACACCAGUGGCGAAGGCGGCUUACUGGUCCGGUUCUGACGCUGAGGCGCGAAAGCGUGGGGAGCAAACAGG